GUGCUGCUGUCAUCUUGGGUCAGAGAAACUUCUUCCUGCAGUAGGUGACAGGUCCUACAGAGACUCAGAUCUGGUCACAGUGAGGAGAAUAGCAGAGUGUUCAGCCCUGAACAGGGCAUCUGUAUCACUACUUUUAAGGCUCAGGGGACAUCACAGAAGGGGGUGUGGAAAGACUGUAAGAGCUGAAGGAAGGGGUGGAGUGUUGUACGAUGCUGUCUCCCAGGCAUGACAUGACUGUUGCACUCUCGAACUUACAGCCACUGAGUUUACCUGCAUAAGACAUGCAUGGGAUUGGAUCUGUCCAUAUUACCCACCUCCACUGUGAGAACUAUCAGUGAAGGAGGAGCUGUAGCCAUUGGCAAACUGCCCAUGCUCCUACAGAGAUUCAAGACAGACAAGACAGAUGUACACAUUGGCUACUGGAGAGGCCUGAAUGAGGGUUCCCAUCUGACCCAGCUGAUCCUGUGUCCCAACUUUCUGCUGCAUCCCAUCCCUUUCCAAUGAGAUGCAGCCAGGAAGGCACUGAUAUGAGUGCCCUAGGAGUGCUGUGGUUCUAAGAACAGAUACAGAGAGAGUCUGGAAUGGUCCAGCAAGGAGAAGAGCAAGGAGGGCUUGGCUUCACACAAAGCUUCUUCCUUUUGCUUGUUCACGGUCUUGCUAUAAGCAGGUUGAGAAGGAGAUGAGCCCCAAAGCAUGAUGGGGUGGAAAGACAUGCAGUCAUAAAGCAGGGCUUGCUCCUCUUUGUCAGGUUCCAGUUUUCCAGCAAGAGAGGCUCACUUUGUGUCUUGUUUGCUAACCUCAUGCCCUGGAGGGUGGUGGGAACUUCCAGGUAGUGAUAAGUUUUGCUCUGUCAUGUGUUCCCACCUUGACUAACUAGCUGUCAAUAGCCCUGAAAACAAUAAGACAACUGGUCAUGGACUGGAAUCCCUGAAUGCCUCACCCUUGUGUAUAUUCAGGUACACAUGUAUGGGGAUAGAUACAUGUGGAGGGCAGAAGUCAAGCUUUAGGAGCUAUCUAUCCUUGUUUCUGAGAUAGGGUCUCUUACUGGGACCCAGUCUCAUUGAUUCAGAUAGGCUGGCUGGCCAGUGAGCUCCAGGACAUCCUCUGGUGUCUGCCUUUGCCAUUCUGGAAUCAUCAGUCAGUGCUAUCACACACAGCGUUUUCGAAUGGAUUCUGGGGGUUGAAUUCAGGUCCUCAAGUUUGUAUGGCAAGCCCUUUACCAACUGAGCCAUGCUGCCCACUUAGGAAGACCUUUCUUGCCUCUGACCUCCUGCAAUCCUCUUUUUCAUAUUCCUCAUAGAUAUCUGCAGUAUAAUCAUAUCCCCUUUCCUUUAGCUCUUCUCAUUGUCAUCAUUAAUAAUUACAUACAGUUUUAAAAUAAAAAUUAUGAUUAGUCUCUACAUGUUGAGCAUUUUCAAUGCCCUUUCAUUAAUGCAUUUGACUUUCCCUGGAAAGUUGUUUCUUUCUAUUUGUUGUAUGGCCUGGAUGUUACAGAUUUUUUUUCCUAUAGAAAAGAAAUAUCUCUAAAGAAGGGAUGCAUAAACAUAAUAUUUUUUACAGGACUCAGAGAGGAAUUGCCUAAUACACCUGGUUUGCAUUGACCAGAUAUUUCAACAGUACACUAAGAGCUAAUGGAACACCGUUUUCUUCAAAAAUGAAAAAAAAAAAAAAAAAAAACCAACAACAAAGGCAGAGCAAUUCCCCACCCCUCCCUCAGCUUCUGAGUCCUGUGACUUGACAGCCCAAUUUUCAGAAAACACUAUUUCAAUUAACCCUGCAGUGCCUGUGAGCCCAGGGCUGCAGAAGAAUGAAUGUUGUUUGGUGGGCCUGCUUGGAAGGCAGCCGCCUCUGGUCUGUCAGGAACAGCUUUCCCCUGAUGGCCCUGGGAGGAGUUAGAACACAGAGGCACAGGAAAAGGAGUGCACUGAAAGGAGGACGGUGAAGUUCCACAGUCUAGCAGCUCAACAACUCUCCCUGCAAGGGUCCAAC
rnacentral:lncRNA from 1 species